GAUGAACGCUGGCGGCGUGCCUAAUACAUGCAAGUCGAGCGAACAGACGAGGAGCUUGCUCCUCUGAAGUUAGCGGCGGACGGGUGAGUAACACGUGGAUAACCUACCUAUAAGACUGGGAUAACUUCGGGAAACCGGAGCUAAUACAGGAUAAUAUAUUGAACCGCAUGGUUCAAUAGUGAAAGACGGUUUUGAUGUCACUUAUAGAUGGAUCCGCGCCGCAUUAGCUAGUUGGUAAGGUAACGGCUUACCAAGGCAACGAUGCGUAGCCGACCUGAGAGGGUGAUCGGCCACACUGGAACUGAGACACGGUCCAGACUCCUACGGGAGGCAGCAGUAGGGAAUCUUCCGCAAUGGGCGAAAGCCUGACGGAGCAACGCCGCGUGAGUGAUGAAGGUCUUCGGAUCGUAAAACUCUGUUAUUAGGGAAGAACAAAUGUGUAAGUAACUAUGCACGUCUUGACGGUACCUAAUCAGAAAGCCACGGCUAACUACGUG
rnacentral:rRNA from 1 species